rnacentral:rRNA from 1 species
ACCUGGUUGAUCCUGCCAGUAGUGUAUGCUCAUCCUGAAGAUUAAGCCAUGCAUGUCUAUGAUUAGAUGCUAUUGAACAAUUCGAAUCUGCGAACGGCUCCACAUAUCAGUUGCGACAUAACGACCCGCUCCAUGCCCCGUAGGGACCAGCAAUGGCCUCGAAAGGGAUCUACAUGGAUAACCCCGGUAAUUCUGAGGCUAAUACAUGACACGAAAGCCGACCCAGCAAUGGGCCGUGCUCAAGAGCAAUAACGUCACGGCGGUUUUGCUAAUCUACUAUAGAUACGAAUACACCCUUGAGUCGACCGUCAUAAAAAAGCGCUGCUGGGAUCGAGGCUUUUCUGCUUCACGGCGGAGGGUCGAGUGAACGGCAUGCGUGGCGGCCGGGUUGAGUGGCUCCUGACCUAUCAUACUAGAAGCUGGGGUAAUGUCCCAGCUUGGUCGCAACGGGUACAGAGGAUUAGGGUUCGAUCCUGGAGAGUGGGCCUGAGAAAUUGCUCAUACUUCUAAGGAAGGCAGCAGGCGCGCAACGUUCCCAAUGGGCAAUAGCCCGAGGGCGUGAAAGGAAAUACUAAUAUCGGCCUAAAAAGGUUGGUAAUUAGAAUGAGGCUAAUUUAAAUCCAUUACUCGAGUAACAAUUAGAGGACAAGUCUGGUGCCAGCACCCGCGGUAAUUCCAGCUCUAAUAGCGUACGUUAAAGUUGUUGCAGUUAAAACGCUCGUAGUCGGAACCAGGUCUCGGAGUGCCUAAGCGGAGCCUGACGCUGUGCCGAGUCGCAAGACGAGGUGCGGUUGGGCCUUUGCUGGGAUUUUUCUUCGAGUGCCAAACAGGCCGGGUAGGGAGCCUUGUGGGAGGGCGGGCAACCGUGAGUACUGCAGGACACGGUGUGUGAGCGCGUUGGUUUAAAACCCAGUGUCGUUGUGACGCCAUCCGCCUGAGCCAUUUUACCAUGAACAAAAUAGAGUGAACAAGGCAGGCCAUUGAGGUCCCUGAAUAUCACAGCAUGGGAUAGCGGACUAACAGGGGUAUCCCCCCAGUCUUGUCAGCUAUUUGACAGAGAAACCGCCUACUGGCGGGGGAAAUCAAUAGGUCAAUAGGGGUGGGAGGGGGUGGCCGAAUUCCUUGGCGAGAGGUGAAAUUCGUUGACCCUAGGAAGUCGAACUAAAGCGAAAGCAGCCGCCAAUUCCACUCCCGUUGAUCAAGAGCGAAAGUUAAGGGUUCGAAGAUGAUCAGAUACCAUCGUAGUCUUAACUAUAAAUGACACUGACUAGGGAUAGGGUAACGUCCACUAUAUCUCGACUCUCUCUGGACCUUAGCGAAAGUAUUAAGUCUAUGAGUUCCGGGGGGAGUAUGGUCGCAAGGCUGAAACUUAAAGGAAUUGACGGAAGAGCACACCAGGAGUGGAGCCUGCGGCUUAAUUUGACUCAACACGGGGAACCUCACCAGGUCCGGAUACUAGCAUGAAAGACAAGCUGAUAGACUUUUCUCAAUUAAGUAAGUGGUGGUGCAUGGCCGUUCGUAGUUCGUGAAGCGAUUCGUCUGGUCUAUUCCGAUAACGAGCGAGACCCCAACCGUCCUAAAUAGGGCCUCUCGCCUUUUAACGUGCUCUCGUUAGCCUUGGUGGUUGCCAUCGCAAGGUGGUGGCUGUUUUGGUGAAGCGGGGCGCCUGUGCGGGAGGUCAAAUAAAAUUAAAUUUAUUCUUCUUAGGGGUAUCAUGGCUGAUAAAGCCUUUGAAAUGGGUUAAUAACAGGUCAGUAAUGCCCUUAGAUGUUCUGGGCCGCACGCGCGCGACAAUGGAUGAAAUGAACGAGCAUAGUGCGGUAUUAGCCCGCAAGGGCGUGCCGUGCAUUUCCGUGCCUUAUGGUGCGGGAAAUCAGUAGUUUUUUAUCCUUGACUGGGCUAGACUCUUGCAAUUGUUGGUCUUCAACGAGGAAUUUCUAGUAGGCGCGGGUCAUCAACCCGUGCCGAUUACGUCCCUGCUCUUUGUACACACCGCCCGUCGCUGCUACCGAUUGAGUGUUCUGGUUAAGCCUUCGG